CAUAUGCUUGUCUCAAAGAUUAAGCCAUGCAUGUCUAAGUUCACACUGUCUCACGGUGAAACCGCGAAUGGCUCAUUAAAUCAGUCGAGGUUCCUUAGAUGACACGAUCCUACUUGGAUAACUGUGGCAAUUCUAGAGCUAAUACAUGCCUAUGAAGCUCCGACCCUCGUGGAAAGAGCGCUUUUAUUAGUUCAAAACCAAUCGCCGGUCGUCUUCGGGCGGCCGGUGUCCCCAUUGGUGACUCUGGAUAACUUUGUGCUGAUCGCAUGGCCUCCGCGCCGGCGACGCAUCUUUCAAAUGUCUGCCCUAUCAAAUGUCGAUGGUACGUGAUAUGCCUACCAUGUUUGUAACGGGUAACGGGGAAUCAGGGUUCGAUUCCGGAGAGGGAGCAUGAGAAACGGCUACCACAUCCAAGGAAGGCAGCAGGCGCGCAACUUACCCACUCCCGGCACGGGGAGGUAGUGACGAAAAAUAACAAUACGGGACUCUCUACGAGGCUCCGUAAUUGGAAUGAGUACACUUUAAACCCUUUAACGAGUAUCUAUUGGAGGGCAAGUCUGGUGCCAGCAGCCGCGGUAAUUCCAGCUCCAAUAGCGUAUAUUAAAGUUGUUGCAGUUAAAAAGCUCGUAGUUGGAUCUCAGGUGCAGGCGGACGGUCCGGCUCGCGCCGGUUCACUGUCCGUAUUUCCUGCCCUACUGGUCUGCCGGCUCUCUCCCGUGGGUGCUCUUCACUGAGCGUCCCGGGUGGCCGGCGCGUUUACUUUGAAAAAAUUAGAGUGUUCAAAGCAGGCCUCGGCUGCCUGAAUAAUGGUGCAUGGAAUAAUGGAAUAGGACCUCGGUUCUAUUUUGUUGGUUUUCGGAACUGGAGGUAAUGAUUAAAAGGGACAAACGGGGGCAUUCGUAUUGCGGCGUUAGAGGUGAAAUUCUUGGAUCGCCGCAAGACGAGCUACUGCGAAAGCAUUUGUCAAGAAUGUUUUCAUUAAUCAAGAACGAAAG
rnacentral:rRNA from 1 species